rnacentral:rRNA from 1 species
CGAACGCUGGCGGCAGGCCUAACACAUGCAAGUCGAACGAGAAGCAGGACUUCGGUUCUGUGGACAGUGGCGGACGGGUGAGUAACGCGUGGGAAUUUGCCUUGGAGUGGGGGACAACCGCUGGAAACGGCGGCUAAUACCGCAUACGCCCUACGGGGGAAAGAUUUAUCGCUCUAAGAGAAGCCCGCGUCUGAUUAGCUUGUUGGUGAGGUAACGGCUCACCAAGGCGACGAUCAGUAGCUGGUCUGAGAGGAUGAUCAGCCACACUGGGACUGAGACACGGCCCAG